UACGUAGGGGGCAAGCGUUGUCCGGAAUCAUUGGGCGUAAAGAGCGUGUAGGCGGCUCGGUAAGUCGGCUGUGAAAGUCCAGGGCUCAACCCUGGGAUGCCGGUCGAUACUGCCGGACUAGAGUUCGGGAGAGGCGAGUGGAAUUCCCGGUGUAGCGGUGAAAUGCGCAGAUAUCGGGAGGAACACCUAUGGCGAAGGCAGCUCGCUGGGACGUUACUGACGCUGAGACGCGAAAGCGUGGGGAGCAAACAGG
rnacentral:rRNA from 1 species